rnacentral:tRNA from 1 species
UUCGGUCGAGGCGUUGCGGGUGCGUUGGCCCUCCGGGAGGGCGGCUACGAAGAACCAGGUGUCGUAGCGGCGGGGUUCGAACUCCGGGGUGAUCC